rnacentral:rRNA from 1 species
UUGAUCUCAAAUCAGGUAGGACUACCCGCUGAACUUAUAUUCAUAUCAAUAAGCGGAGGAAAAGAAACUAACAAGGAUUCCCCUAGUAACUGCGAGUGAAGCGGGAAGAGCUCAAAUUUAAAAUCUGGCGUGCCUCUGGCCGUCCGAGUUGUAGUCUGGAGAAGCGUUUUCCGUGUUGGACCGUGUAUAAGUCUCUUGGAACAGGGCGUCAUAGAGGGUGAGAAUCCCGUCUUUGACACGGACUACCAAUGCUUUGUGAU